rnacentral:tRNA from 1 species
GUCGUUGUAGUAUAGUGGUGAGUAUUUCCGCCUGUUACGCGGGUGACCCCGGUUCGAUCCCCGUCUACGGCG